UCAAUGCGCCAGUGGCCUCACGCCACUGCCCGCAGUCCAACGCGCCAGGGACCAACACCCGUCGCUGGGCACGACUGUGGCACAUUGUUGUUUUUUUUUUUUGGGGGGGGGGGGGAUGUUUGGAUGGAUGAUGUUGGAUUGUGGCGCACAUCGGAGAGGGAUGUGGCUGCGGGGCAGGACCGCAGGAGACGGACGCGCGAGGAGAGGAGGUGAAUAGCUGAGCUUCUCAUUGUGUAGAUCGGUUGAUGAGACGGGGAACUGAAUCCAGGAGAUAGCGGAUUAUUGGUCUCUUGGCACCGCCUGCAAUGCAAUAUGAGUUGAGGCACCAUGACGGCUUCAGUGUGAUCUUCCUUGCAGCGAUGCAAUUUCUCAAGUUCUUAGCCGCAGGCUUGCAGCAGACAGAGAGGCAAACAUUUCAGGUUUUAUCCUUUAUACACCCAAUAUAUCUUUAUUUCUUUCAGUCAGACAGCACGCAUUGCAAAAUUUAGCUCUUUUUUCCCCUAGUUGGCUAGUUGAAUAUCAUUCACAAUACAUAGCUAAAAAAAGCUGUAGUCUCUAUCCCCCAUGGCAGGAAGCCAGGAAGGGUAUUUUGACUUUGACUCGUAAUGAUUGGUUCCCCAUGGCAGGAAGCCAGGAAGCUGUAGUCUCUUGUUUGAUUUUGACUCGUAAUGAGAAGAAAGAGACCCCGGCCGAAACUUCUCUACCGUUCCCCCACGUUUGGUUGGUUGGUUGGUACUGAUCCGUUGCAUGUUUCAUUAUUGUUGUGCGUCACGGCGGUCCCAUGGAAACCUGACCACCAUCGCUCUUCUCGCCAUUGCCGGCUUCGUCCCCGUGAACCACGCGACAUGGUUUCGCGUCACGCGGGUCACGGAAAUGUCGUGCUGAUAUCCGCAGGGCCGAGGCCUGGGCCUGGGACUGGGACUGGGACUGGGACUGGGACUGGGCGGUGCUGGAAUAAUCAUGCAGUUGCUAGCAGCAGCUAGCACGCUAUAGAGCUAAACCGACAUCUGAUGGGCAUGGGCACACUAUGAAAGCUACGUCGUUGAAAUCAACUGUACUGUGCCGUCACGUGCAGCAGUGUGGAUCACGAACUGUGUGGUGUGUCCGCGUGAUGAUUACGACAGGCACCAGAAUUGAGUCUUCUCGAGAGAGCCGGAAUUGGUUAGAAAUUGGAAAAUGGAAUCUGUUUCGUUCGCUGGGUUGGAACAUCAGGUGACGUUGGUCGGGGAUGGAUCAUGGACGCACUCGCAUCUGAAAGGCGAUACGGAUGGAUGACUGGCUUGUAGACUCGGAGGACUGGCGUACAACAUCAGUUGUCUGUUAGUUAUACUUGACUCAAAACUGAAUUUAGGCUAUGUGUGUCAGAAAACUGAAUUUAGGCUAUGGACAGCUGAUUGUGUAUAUGGCCGUGUCAAACACAGUUUCAUGCUAUAGAUUGCCCUAAUUAUAUAGUGAAAUUUGAAAUAUGAGAUAGAUUUAGCUGGCUAUUUGCCAAACGUAUGGCUGUACGGCCUACCAAAUGGGCAAAUGGCAAGUUACUAUUGCCAUCUGCUAGGUGUCGAUGGCAGAGGAUUGUGCAUCCAAAUAAUGACGAUGACCGUAGCACGUACUGAAGGGGACGUGCGAACAGUAUGUUGGUGUUCCUUCGUCACAGAUUGAUGGGGACAAACUACAGAAUGGUCCGGAUCAGACGGUACUAACGAGUCUCUCUAUUUUUCUUCUUGCUAAUGAUACUAGCGAGUCUCUAAUUUUUCUUCUUGCUAAUGAUACUAACGAGUCUCUCUAUUUUCCCUUUGCAUCAUUGCACGACAGAACGAACGAACGUACUCUCCUGUCCGCUAAGGCCGUUUGCAGCAGUCUACCUAAAUUUUACUCAAAAGUACUGUUUUGCACUGUAGACUAUAAUGUUCGCAGAGUAAAGUUUGAAUAUGUGUAUAGAGAUGGACAAGCUGUUGGAGAUAGUUUAAAACUAAGUGUCAUUCUUCUAUCCAGAUGUUUUAAAUUUGGUCAAAUAUAUAUAAGAAAUUAUUAAUAUUUACGAUA